GCGGGCGGGGAGCGCGCCCCCGCCCCGCUGCGCUCCCCGCGGACCCUCAGCCUCCUUGGUGCAGUGGUUCUUAACAGUUCAACAGUUCUCUAGCAUAAUUGUGAAAUGUUUAGGACCACUUGACCAGCGAGG
ensembl:miRNA